rnacentral:rRNA from 1 species
AUUGAACGCUGGCGGCAGGCCUAACACAUGCAAGUCGAACGGUAGCACAGAGGAGCUUGCUCCUUGGGUGACGAGUGGCGGACGGGUGAGUAAUGUCUGGGAAACUGCCCGAUGGAGGGGGAUAACUACUGGAAACGGUAGCUAAUACCGCAUAACGUCUUCGGACCAAAGUGGGGGACCUUCGGGCCUAACACCAUCGGAUGUGCCCAUAAGGGAUUAGCUAGUAGGUGGGGUAAUGGCUCACCUAGGCGACGAUCCCUAGCUGGUCUGAGAGGAUGACCAGCCACACUGGAACUGAGACACGGUCCAGACUCCUACGGGAGGCAGCAGUGGGGAAUAUUGCACAAUGGGCGCAAGCCUGAUGCAGCCAUGCCGCGUGUAUGAAGAAGGCCUUCGGGUUGUAAAGUACUUUCAGCGGGGAGGAAGGCGUUAAGGUUAAUAACCUUGGCGAUUGACGUUACCCGCAGAAGAAGCACCGGCUAACUCCGUGCCAGCCGCCGCAGUAA